rnacentral:tRNA from 3 species
GGCGGCGUAGCUCAGUUGGCUAGAGCAUUCGGUUCAUACCCGGAGUGUCAUGUGUUCGAGUCACAUCGCCGCUACCA